rnacentral:rRNA from 1 species
UACGGAGGGUGCGAGCGUUGUCCGGAAUCACUGGGCGUAAAGGGCGCGUAGGCGGCUCAUGAAGGCUGUGGUGAAAGUCCGGGGCUCAACCUCGGAUCGGCCGUGGCGACUCGUGGGCUGGAGCACUGUAGAGGCGGGUGGAAUUCCGGGUGUAGCGGUGGAAUGCGUAGAGAUCCGGAAGAACACCAGUGGCGAAGGCGGCCCGCUGGGCAGUGGCUGACGCUGAGGCACGAAAGCGUGGGGAGCAAACAGG